AGAGUUUGCUUCUGGCUCAGGAUGAACGCUAGCUGCAGGCUUAACACAUGCAAGUCGAGGGGCAUCGGGAGGGAAGCUUGCUUUCCUUGCCGGCGACCGGCGCACGGGUGAGUAACACGUAUGCAACCUGCCCUCUUCAGGGGGACAACCUUCCGAAAGGGAGGCUAAUCCCGCGUAUAUCGGUUUCGGGCAUCCGAGAUCGAGGAAAGAUUCAUCGGAAGAGGAUGGGCAUGCGGCGCAUUAGCUAGACGGCGGGGUAACGGCCCACCGUGGCGACGAUGCGUAGGGGUUCUGAGAGGAAGGUCCCCCACACUGGUACUGAGACACGGACCAGACUCCUACGGGAGGCAGCAGUGAGGAAUAUUGGUCAAUGGGAGAGAUCCUGAACCAGCCAAGCCGCGUGAGGGAAGACGGCCCUAUGGGUUGUAAACCUCUUUUGUCGGAGAACAAAACCCGGGACGAGUCCCGGACUGCGUGUAUCCGAAGAAAAAGCAUCGGCUAACUCCGUGCCAGCAGCCGCGGUAAUACGGAGGAUGCGAGCGUUAUCCGGAUUUAUUGGGUUUAAAGGGUGCGUAGGCGGUCCGUUAAGUCAGCGGUAAAAUUGCGGGGCUCAACCCCGUCGAGCCGUUGAAACUGGCAGACUUGAGUUGGCGAGAAGUACGCGGAAUGCGCGGUGUAGCGGUGAAAUGCAUAGAUAUCGCGCAGAACUCCGAUUGCGAAGGCAGCGUACCGGCGCCAGACUGACGCUGAGGCACGAAAGCGUGGGGAUCGAACAGGAUUAGAUACCCUGGUAGUCCACGCAGUAAACGAUGAAUGCUGGUUGUCCGGGUCGAAUGAGACCUGGGCGGCGAAGCGAAAGCGAUAAGCAUUCCACCUGGGGAGUACGCCGGCAACGGUGAAACUCAAAGGAAUUGACGGGGGCCCGCACAAGCGGAGGAACAUGUGGUUUAAUUCGAUGAUACGCGAGGAACCUUACCCGGGCUCAAACGGGAGUGGAAUGGACCAGAGACGGUUCAGCCUGCGGGCCGCUUCCGAGGUGCUGCAUGGUUGUCGUCAGCUCGUGCCGUGAGGUGUCGGCUUAAGUGCCAUAACGAGCGCAACCCCCGCCGGCAGUUGCUAACGGGCAAUGCCGAGGACUCUGCCGGGACUGCCGCCGCAAGGCGUGAGGAAGGCGGGGAUGACGUCAAAUCAGCACGGCCCUUACGUCCGGGGCGACACACGUGUUACAAUGGGCGGUACAGCGGGAAGCCAGGCGGCGACGCCGAGCGGAACCCGAAAGCCGUUCUCAGUUCGGAUCGGAGUCUGCAACCCGACUCCGUGAAGCUGGAUUCGCUAGUAAUCGCGCAUCAGCCAUGGCGCGGUGAAUACGUUCCCGGGCCUUGCACACACCGCCCGUCA
rnacentral:rRNA from 1 species